rnacentral:rRNA from 1 species
UACAGAGACUGCAAGCGUUAUUCGGAUUCACUGGGCGUAAAGGGUGCGCAGGCGGCCGUGUGUGUGAGGCGUGAAAGCCCGGGGCUUAACCCCGGAAUUGCACCUCAAACUACAUGGCUAGAGCAUUGGAGAGGGUAGCAGAAUUCAUGGUGUAGCAGUGAAAUGCGUAGAUAUCAUGAGGAAUACCAGAGGCAAAGGCGGCUACCUGGACAAUUGCUGACGCUCAGGCACGAAAGCGUGGGGAGCAAAAGGG